rnacentral:rRNA from 1 species
AAUCAACGCUGGCGGCGUGCCUAACACAUGCAAGUCGAACGAGAAAGUGGGGGCAACUCCAUGAGUAAAGUGGCAGACGGGUGAGUAACACGUGAACAACCUACCCUCGAGUGUGGAAUAACACCGCGAAAGCGGUGCUAAUACCGCAUAACAUCUUUAGGUCGCAUGAUCUGAAGAUCAAAAGCGCAAGUUGCUUGAGGAGGGGUUCGCGCCUGAUUAGCUAGUUGGUGAGGUAACGGCCACCAAGGCAACGAUCAGUAGCCGGCCUGAGAGGGCGAACGGCCACACUGGAACUGAGACACGGUCCAGACUCCUACGGGAGGCAGCAGUGGGGAAUUUUGCGCAAUGGGCGAAAGCCUGACGCAGCAACGCCGCGUGGAGGAUGAAGGCCUUCGGGUCGUAAACUCCUGUCGAUGGGGAAGAAUGCUUCGCAAGAAGUUUGACUGUACCCGUUGAGGAAGCCACGGCUAACUCCGUGCCAGC